UACGUAGGCAGCAAGCGUUGUUCGGAAUUACUGGGCGUAAAGAGUGUGUAGGCGGUACUCUAAGUUCGGUGUGAAAUCUCCCGGCUUAACUGGGAGGGUGCGCCGGAAACUGGAGUGCUCGAGCGUGGGAGAGGAAAGCGGAAUUCCUGGUGUAGCGGUGAAAUGCGUAGAUAUCAGGAGGAACACCAGUGGCGAAGGCGGCUAUCUGGACGGUUUCUGACGCUAAGACGCGAAAGCGUGGGGAGCAAACAGG
rnacentral:rRNA from 1 species